UACAGAGGGUGCGAGCGUUGUCCGGAGUUACUGGGCGUAAAGCGCGCGCAGGCGGCGGUGCUGGCCCGGCGUGAAAGCCCCCGGCUCAACCGGGGAGAGUCGUCGGGGACCGCACCGCUUGAGGGCGGUAGGGGCUGGUGGAAUGCCUGGUGUAGUGGUGAAAUGCGCAGAUAUCAGGAGGAACACCAAUUGCGAAGGCAGCUCGCUGGGACGUUACUGACGCUGAGACGCGAAAGCGUGGGGAGCAAACAGG
rnacentral:rRNA from 1 species